GGGAAAAGUUGGAUUUGGAACAAACAUCAAAAAUUUAUAUUAUUCCAAUUGGUUUAUAGGUGAUUUCAGAGGGAGCAAGAGGAGGUAAAGGAAGGAUGGGUUACAUAGGGGCUCAUGGAGUGCAAGCCCUUCAUAGGUACAAAUACAGUGGGGUGGAUCACUCCUAUGUUGCGAAGUAUGUGUUGCAACCCUUUUGGAGUCGCUGCGUCAAUUUCUUCCCCCUUUGGAUGCCACCGAAUAUGAUUACGCUUACAGGAUUUUUGUUCUUGGUCACAUCUGCGUUGCUCGGAUAUAUUUAUUCUCCACUGUUGGAUUCACCUCCUCCAAGAUGGGUUAAUUUUGCGCAUGGAUUGCUUCUCUUUCUGUAUCAGACGUUUGAUGCUGUUGAUGGAAAACAAGCAAGACGAACAAAUUCCUCUAGUCCACUAGGAGAGCUUUUUGAUCAUGGGUGUGAUGCGCUUGCAUGUGCAUUCGAAGCCUUGGCUUUUGGGAGUACUGCUAUGUGUGGACGGGAUGCUUUCUGGUUCUGGGUUAUAUCAGCUGUUCCUUUCUACUUCGCUACUUGGGAAAGCUAUUUCACCAACACACUAGUUCUUCCGGUAGUAAAUGGACCAACAGAGGGUCUCAUGUUGAUAUAUCUCAGCCAUUUCUUUACAGCUUUAGUGGGGUCUGAGUGGUGGGCUCAGCCGUUUGGGAAGUCUAUGCCUCUCGUGAGUUGGGUUCCAUUUCUGAACGAAAUUCCGACCAAUAAAGCCGUGUUGUUCCUGAUGGUAGUUUUUGCUGUUAUUCCAACAGUCUAUUGCAAUAUUAACAAUGUUCAUAAGGUUGUUCAGGCAACAAAAGGAAGCAUGCCGCGGGCGCUGGCCAUGCUUUACCCAUUUGUUGUUCUAUUGGGAGGAGUGCUUCUGUGGUAUUUCUCACUUUCAGAAUACUAUUUAUUUUUGAUACCAUAUCAUGGUAUUUAGGAUUGGUUGUUAUGCAGGGACUACUUAUCUCCAUCUAAUUUAAUGAAGAACUAUCCUCAUCUUGUGGUAGUGGGAACUGGGCUUACAUUUGGAUUUCUUGUGGGAAGGUUGAUUUUGGCUCACCUGUGUGAUGAACCCAAGGGUCUGAAAACAAAUAUGUGCAUGUCUCUGCUUUGUCUACCUUUUGCCGUUGCAAAUGCGCUCACUGCCAGACUUAAUGAUGGAGUUCCUAUGGUUGAUGAGUUCUGGGUUCUUCUCGCUUACACUGCAUACUCAGUAUCACUCUAUCUGCAUUUUGCCACUUCUGUUAUACAUGAAAUCACAUCAGCACUCGGGAUAUACUGUUUCAGGAUAACAAGGAAAGAAGCUUGAGCCGUUUUGCGCUCUAAUUUUUGCUUUCAACCUCGAUGGCAUAGAGAAGAUGCAGCAAGGACACGAAAAAUGCACAGUUUAUCAAAGCCGAAUUUCCUUUUAGGAGAUCAAAACCACCAGCAAGAAAUGACCAAUAACACAAACUAGAAACUGGAAACAAACUAAACUAUUAUGCAACAGGUCUGAGUUAAUCACUUAACAUCAAACAAAGUCAUCGACUUAAGGUGGACUGCCAACAAAAAUACAGAAUGCUCCCUAAAUUGGCUGGUUCUUUUGCUACAAUACCACAAAUUCAUUGCAACCACCAACAGAGCCAAGUAUCAAUAGUUAAAGAAAUAGAAGCUCAACUAAUCAAGUCACAUAAGCUUGGAUGUUGGCAGCAUACAGGAGUGGACCUAACUUCUAAGUUACAAGGUUCACGUGAACCAAGUAGCUUUUUCCUAAAUCCCUUAUAUGUAUUAAGAGUUCUACUAAAUAUCUGCAACUCUCCAACUGCGAACCCGAUUAUUAUCACAUAUACAGAGGGAGAUUUCC
rnacentral:misc_RNA from 1 species